UGGGAAAUUUUGCACAAUGGGGGAAACCCUGAUGCAGCGACGCCGCGUGAUUUAGAAGGCCUUCGGGUUGUAAAAAUCUUUUCUAUGGGAAGAAAAUGACAGUACCAUAGGAAUAAGGACCGGCUAAUUACGUGCCAGCAGCCGCGGUAAUACGUAAGGUCCGAGCGUUUUCCGGAAUCAUUGGGCGUAAAGGGUACGUAGGCGGGUAAGCAAGUUAGAAGUGAAAUCCUAUAGCUCAACUAUAGUAUGCUUUUAAAACUGCUCAUCUUGAGGUAUGGAAGGGAAAGUGGAAGUCCUAGUGUAGCGGUGAAAUGCGCAGAUAUUAGGAGGAAUACCGGUGGCGAAGGCGACUUUCUGGCCAUAACCUGACGCUGAGGUACGAAAGCGUGGGUAGCAAACAGG
rnacentral:rRNA from 1 species